GUGGGGAAUAUUGGACAAUGGGGGGAACCCUGAUCCAGCCAUGCCGCGUGUGUGAAGAAGGCCUUUUGGUUGCAAAGCACUUUAAGCGAGGAGGAGGCUACCGAGAUUAAUACUCUUGGAUAGUGGACGUUACUCGCAGAAUAAGCACCGGCUAACUCUGUGCCAGCAGCCGCGGUAAUACAGAGGGUGCAAGCGUUAAUCGGAUUUACUGGGCGUAAAGCGCGCGUAGGUGGCCACUUAAGUCAAAUGUGAAAUCCCCGAGCUUAGCUUGGGAAUUGCAUUCGAUACUGGUUGGCUAGAGUAUGGGAGAGGAUGGUAGAAUUCCAGGUGUAGCGGUGAAAUGCGUAGAGAUCUGGAGGAAUACCGAUGGCGAAGGCAGCCAUCUGGCCUAAUACUGACACUGAGGUGCGAAAGCAUGGGGAGCAAACAGGAUUAGAUACCCCUGUAGUCC
rnacentral:rRNA from 1 species